GGACUACACGGGUUUCUAAUCCUGUUUGCUCCCCUAGCUUUCGUGCCUCAGUGUCAGGAGUUGUCCAGGGACUCGCCUUCGCCACUGGUGUUCCACUUGAUAUCUACGCAUUUCACUGCUACACCAAGCAUUCCAGUCCCCCCUCCAACCCUCGAGCCGGGUAGUUUCCAAUGCCAUUUCGGAGUUGAGCUCCGAGCUUUCACAUCCGACUUACCCGACCACCUACGCACCCUUUACGCCCAGUGAAUCCGAACAACGCUCGGGACCUCUGUAUUACCGCGGCUGCUGGCAC
rnacentral:rRNA from 2 species